rnacentral:rRNA from 1 species
GACAGAGGUCUCGAGCGUUAGGCGGAAUCACUGGGCUUAAAGCGUGUGUAGGCGGACUUGUAAGUACCUUGUGAAAUCCCACGGCUCAACCGUGGAACUGCUUGGUAUACUGCUUGUCUUGGGCCAGCUAGAGGUUACCGGAACAAACGGUGGAGCGGUGAAAUGCGUAGAUAUCGGGAGGAACACCUGUGGCGAAAGCGGCGCACUGGACCACAACUGACGCUGAGGCGCGAAAGCUAGGGGAGCAAACAGG